rnacentral:lncRNA from 1 species
GUUCAAAUCCCAGCAACCACAUGGUGCCUCACAACCACCUGUAAUGAGAUCUGAUACCCUCUUCUGGUAAGUCUGAAGACAGCUACAGUGUAUUUAUGUAUAAUAAUAAAUAAAUCUUUGGGCCCAAGCGAGCAGGGAACUGAGCGAGUGGAGUUGAUGGGAGGGAGCGGCCAACUGGAGUGAGUGGGGUUGACUGGAGUGAGCAGAGGUCCUAAAUACAAUUCCCAACAACCACACGAAGGCUCACAACCAUCUGUACAGCUACAGUAUACUUAGAUACAUAAAAAUAAAUAAAUUUUUAAAAAAUGAAAUUCAAAGUAUAUUACAAAGUAUGGUCUAUAGUAUUAUAAUAAUGUAAACAUUGAACUGCAUGUAGACAGGAAUAAGAAAUCACAGGAAUAGGUAGAUGAUUUUUGAUUGGGUUACAGACUUCUGUUUUGCUUUUGUUUUAAUAUUUUAUAAUAAAAAUAAAAGUUUUCAUUUGGGUUUUUAGACAAGGGUCUUGCUGUACAUACAGCUACAUUGAUUGGCUCAAACUCAUAAUUGACUUUUCAGCCUCUGUCUGUCUAGCACUGGGAUUACAGGAAUGAACCACCAAAUUCAGCUGGAGUUUUUUGUUUUUUUGUUUUUUUUUUCUUUUUUCUCCUCCUAACCUCUAGAACUAAAAUGGCCUUUAACAACAUCUAUUUGGGAUGGCCUGUACUCCCCCCAACCCCCAAACUUGUUUCAAAAGAGUCUUCCAUUCUGUUACCCAGUUGACAGAAAGC